UAAUUCCCGUUGAUCCUGCGGGAGGUUGCUGCUAUUGGGGUUCGAUUAAGCCAUGCAAGUCAUUGCGCAAGCAAGGCAGACUGCUCAGUAACACGUCGAUAAUCUGCCCUUAGGUCCGGAAUAACCUCGGGAAACUGAGGAUAACGCCGGAUAGGGAAAUCCAACUGGAAGGUGGGUUUCCUCAAAAGUGUGAAAUGCGAGUGAGCUCGUUGCGAACUCGCUCACAAAUCACUGCCUAAGGAUGAGUCGGCGGCGGAUUCGGCGGAUUAGGUUGUUGGCGAGGUAAUGGCUCACCAAGCCGAAGAUCCGUAGGGGCCUUGAGAGAGGUAGCCCCGAGAAGGGCACUGAGAUACUGGCCCUAGCUCCACGGAGUGCAGCAGGCGCGAAACCUUUACAAUGCACGAAAGUGUGAUAAGGGAACCCCAAGUGAUGAUGCUUUGCAUCAUCUUUUGCUAAGAGCAAAAAUCUUAGCGAAUAAGUGGUGGGCAAUACCUGUGCCAGCCGCCGCGGUAACCCAGGAGCCACAAGUGGCAACCACCUUUAUUGGGCCUAAAGCGUCCGUAGCCGGUUUUGUAAAUUUUCUGUGAAAUCGUUGCGCUUAACGUAACGGCGAGCAGAAAACACUACAAAACUUGGGACCGGGAGGAGUCAGAGGUAUUUGGGGGGGAGCGGUAAAAUGCUAUAAUCCCCUAAGGACCACCUGUGGCGAAGGCGUCUGACUAGAACGGAUUCGACGGUGAGGGACGAAAGCUAGGGGAGCAAUCCGGAUUAGAUACAACCUUUUUGCGUUCGCAAAAAGCUUGACCAAAAAUUCAUGAGGAGUCGCAAGCGACUCAUACCACGAUUGCAAAAGUUCUACUGCGGUUAAAUGAGUUUCAAGCUGAUUAUGCAAAAAGUGUUGCUAAUUACCCGAGUAGUCCUAGCUGUAAACGCUGCGAGCUAGGUGUUGCGCAAUCUUAGGGAGUUUAAUCCAAUUCAACACGGAGAAUCUCACCAGGAGCGACGGCAGGAUGAAGGACAGUCUAAAGGGCUUUCCUGACGAGCCGAGAGGUAGUGCAUGGCCGUCGUCAGCUCGUGCCGUAAGGUGUCCUGUUAAGUCAGGCAACGAGCGAGACCUGCGCACACAAUUGCUAACUGGUUAGCAAUAAUGACUGAGCACAUUGUGUGGACUGCCCGUGAAAACGGGAGGAAGGCGCAGGCAACGGUAGGUCUGUAUGCUCCGAAUCUUCUGGGCUACACGCGCGCAACAAUGAUAGGUACAAUGGGAUGCAACACCGAAAGGUGGAGCUAAUCCUCGAAAACCUAUCCUAGUUCAGAUCGUGGAUUGUAACUCAUCCACGUGACGUUGGAAUCCCUAGUAAUCAGGCUUUAGCAGAGCCCGGUGAAUAUGUCCCUGCUCCUUGCACACACCGCCCGUCAAACCACCCGAGCAGGGUUUAGAUGAGGUCUGAUUUUUAAUCAGUUCGAAUCUAAGCUCAGCGAGGAGGGUUAAGUCGUCACAAGGUAGCCGUAGGGGAACCUGCGGCUGGAUCACCUCCUU
rnacentral:rRNA from 1 species